rnacentral:lncRNA from 1 species
UUUGAGUUUAAGUUGCACCGUAUGAGAAAUUGCACUUUAGUCUCAAUUAGUUUUAAAUUGUGUAACUUAAGUCUCAAACAGUGAAACUUAAAUUCAACUAGUGCAAUUUUUAUUUAUAUAGUGCAACUUAGUCUCAAAUUAUUUUAAAUACUAUAAUUUAAUCUGAAACAGUGCAAUUUCGUUUUCUUCUUCUAUUUUCUCUAUGUUUUGGCUUUUUUUGUAUCAAUUACGACACAUGAUGGCCUUUCUAGGAGAAGAAAAAUAUAUUUUUUUAUUUUUUCUUCUUUUUCUUUCAUAUACUGCAGAUUUUUCACUAUUGCACCUCCUUUCUUGCCCUCUGCAGCAGCCGCCGCCACGACAAAACAAUUAUUGUAUAGUGGUGACUAAAGUUGCCACCAAAUGUAUAAAAUAUCGCUGGUGGCAGAUCCAGCCGCCGUCACGACAAAACAAUUAUUGUAUACUCGUGACUAAAGUUGCCACCAAAUGUAUAAAAUAUCGCCAGGGGCAGAUCUAGAAAUUUUUUCUCAUACGAUUAAUAUAUAAGGAAGAAAAAAAAUAAAAAAACUAAAAAAAUGAAUUAGUCAUUAAAAUUAU